rnacentral:rRNA from 1 species
GAUGAACGCUGGCGGCGUGCCUAAUACAUGCAAGUCGAGCGAACGGACGAGAAGCUUGCUUUUCUGAUGUUAGCGGCGGACGGGUGAGUAACACGUGGAUAACCUACCUAUAAGACUGGGAUAACUUCGGGAAACCGGAGCUAAUACCGGAUAAUAUUUUGAACCGCAUGGUUCAAAAGUGAAAGACGGUCUUGCUGUCACUUAUAGAUGGAUCCGCGCUGCAUUAGCUAGUUGGUAAGGUAACGGCUUACCAAGGCAACGAUGCAUAGCCGACCUGAGAGGGCGAUCGGCCACACUGGAACUGAGACACGGUCCAGACUCCUACGGAAGGCAGCAGUAGGGAAUCUUCCGCAAUGGGCGAAAGCCUGACGGAGCAACGCCGCGUGAGUGAUGAAGGUCUUCGGAUCGUAAAACUCUGUUAUUAGGGAAGAACAUAUGUGUAAGUAACUGUGCACAUCUUGACGGUACCUAAUCAGAAAGCCACGGCUAACUACGUG